UCUAGAACUCUCUCUGAGUCCCCAUUCCCCAGAAUAUGUUUGAACAAUACAUUUCUUGAAAGUUUCAUAAGGCGAAGAGGACUUUUGGGGCCCCCAUCUCAUGGAAAACAAUUUUUUUGCAGCUCUCAACUGUACUCCAACCCUAGCCAGCUCUCUCCUAAGUGGAAGUAAAAGUAACCCGAUGAGAGAGCGUGGAUGAUUUUCUCCAACUUUUAAUCACUGAAAGUUAAAAACCAGCUCCAAAAGAUCCUCAUUGCUGGGCCAGAGUGAAGAAGUAUCGUGUUUGAAAAAAGUCAGCGGCAGUAAUGACACAGGCUGUCAGUUAGUGACUCUUUUCUAUCUGCCAGGCCCUGGGCUAAGCAGUCAACGUACACGGUCAUAUUUCGCUCUUUUUUUUGUCCUCAUCCACAGCAUGUGGACGUACCCAGGCCAGGGAUUGAACCCUAGCCACUGCAGUGACAAUGCCAGAUUCUUAACCCCUAACCACUAGGCCACCAGGGAACUCCCACAUUUCACUUUUUUUUUUUUUUUUUUCUUUCUAUGGCUGCACCUGAGGUAUAUGAAAGUUCCCAGGUAAGGGUUGAAUUGGAGCUGCAGCCUACACCACAACUACCUCAAGGCCUCGCCACAGCUUGCAGCAAUGCUAGAUCCUUAGGCCACUGAGCAAGGCCAGGGAUAGAACCCACAUCCUCAUGGAUACUAGUGAGUCUCUUAACCCACUGAGCCACAAUGGGAACUCCCCACAUUUCACUUUUAACAGCUCCCUUGGGGGAGCCAAGGAUCAGGGAGAUCAGAGUGUCUUGCAGAGGCCACAUGAUGCUGCAAACUGGGAUUUGAAUUUGGGUGCCUAAUCCCAGAGCCUCUCAAGUACAACUCCACAGCCAUGCUGUGUACCAGUUGUAAGCAUGCAUGUUUCUUAGACACUGGAGUCAUUGUCUGGACGUAUAAUUCACAGGCUAAAGGAAGUGUGUGGACAAGCAACCUUAAGUUAGAAGGGCUGUGGAAAGCGACACGUGAAGGCUGGAUCCAGGCCCCUGGAAUAUUGUGAGAGCCUUUCAUCCAAUACGGAGGGCCUUGAUCGCUUUUCAGCAAAUAUGUAGGCCAUUGUUACUGGUGUGCAUACUUGCCGUAUUGGGACAAAUUUCCCAGUGACAACUCAGAGUGAACCACAGUGAACUAAAACCUAUAUCCUCUGAUCAGUCCUACCUGGUGAUGCAGUCACACAGGAAAACCCAUGGUUUGAACCUCUGUGGAGCCAGUUUCCCAAUAGACUCUUUGGAGUAUACAAUAAGAGCUGUUAUUUACUGAGAGCCCCUAUCCCUCCGACACUGUGCCAACUCAUUUUGUUUUUAGGAAACCUUGAGGGGAGGGGAGGGGAGUACUGCCACUCAGAUUUCAGUUCCUGGCGUGGAACUUCCACAUGCUGCAGGUGCAGCCAAAAAAAACCAUAUAUAUAUGAUGAGGCUAUAUCCCUCUUGAUUUAUUAUAUUUUCUGCUUACUUUUCAACUGUUUUACAGUUUUCUCAAGGCUAAUGGGUAUGGUUAAGAGGGAAAAUAUCAAUUAAAAAACUCUCCUUAUGAUGUGCUAUUUAUAUUUACAAAGAAUUUUUGUAAAGAAAAAUCUUGACUAUUGGAGUAAUUUUGCAUCUGCGCCGUUUUUUGAAAAACAUGAAUUAAAGGUGUUGUC
rnacentral:lncRNA from 1 species